rnacentral:rRNA from 1 species
UACGGAGGAUCCGAGCGUUAUCCGGAUUUAUUGGGUUUAAAGGGUGCGCAGGCGGGAGAUUAAGUCGGCGGUGAAAUUUUGCAGCUCAACUGUAAAAGUGCCUUCGAAACUGGUUUCCUUGAGUGUAGAUGAAGUAGGCGGAAUUUGUGGUGUAGCGGUGAAAUGCUUAGAUAUCACGAGGAACUCCGAUUGCGCAGGCAGCUUACUAAACUACUACUGACGCUCAGGCACGAAGGCGUGGGGAUCAAACAGGAUUAGAUACCCGGGUAGUCCCUGA